rnacentral:rRNA from 1 species
UACUGAAGGUGCAAGCGUUAAUCGGAAUUACUGGGCGUAAAGCGCGCGUAGGCGGUUUGUUAAGUUGGAUGUGAAAGCCCAGGGCUCAACCUUGGAACUGCAUCCGAUACUGGCAGGCAGAUAUAGAGAGGAGGUGAGAAUUUCAGGUGUAGCGGUGAAAUGCGUAGAGAUCUGAAGGAAUACCAGUGGCGAAGGCGGCCUCCUGGCCUAAUAUUGACGCUGAGGUGCGAAAGCGUGGGGAGCAAACAGGAUUAGAUACCCCGUAGUCC